CAGCAGCCGCGGUAACACGGAGGGGGCUAGCGUUGUUCGGAAUUACUGGGCGUAAAGCGCACGUAGGCGGCUUGGUAAGUUAGAGGUGAAAGCCCAGGGCUCAACCCUGGAAUUGCCUUUAAGACUGCCGAGCUAGUAGGUGAGAGAGGUAAGUGGAAUUCCGAGUGUGGAGGUGAAAUUCGUAGAUAUUCGGAAGAACGCCAGUGGCGAAGGCGGCUUACUGGCUCAUUCUAGACGCUGAGGUGCGAAAGCGUGGGGAGCAAACAGGAUUAGAUACCCCUGUAGUCCCUGUCUCUUAUAC
rnacentral:rRNA from 1 species